rnacentral:misc_RNA from 1 species
ACAAACUUGGUCAUUUAGAGGAAGUAAAAGUCGUAACAAGGUUUCCGUAGGUGAACCUGCGGAAGGAUCAUUAACGUAUCUCUGGCGGCGGUGGAGCCCAGCUCCGGUCCGAAAGGGCCGUGCAGCGGGCGACGCCCCGUCCACACCACAAACCCACUGUGAACCUUCACGGCGGAGGGAGGGAAACCUCUCGAAGCCGCAUACACAAACCCCGUCUUACAGAAAGUCGUGCGGACCAGCGCCGCCUAAAACACAAAACAACUUUCAACAACGGAUCUCUUGGCUCUCGCAUCGAUGAAGAACGCAGC